CCCUAUCUCUCUCUCUCCCUCCGUCCCCGAUCUGACCUCAACGCCAAGAAGCCCAUAAGUGAACAAUAUUCAAAAUCUACCGCUAAAAAUAUGCCUAAACUUCCACUCAACAUCAUGGAGAUCGCUUGUGAUAAAUUCCUGAGUUGGUGGUUGUUGUAAGAAAUCCUGCAGGACCAAAAGAAAGGGAAAAUACAACAAUUUUUCUUCUUCUUCUUCUUUUUUUUUUUUUUUGUAAUUUUUUUUAAAAGGAAGUAAUAGACACUACCAAUGGAGGGAAAACUUUCUCGGUAGCACAAUGAGGAAUAGAGAACCCUCCAUGGGUACUAGUGUCACUUGCUGUCAAUGUCUUGCAAAAGUAAUUGGUGGGCUGCUUUCUUGAAAUCCCCAAUUCCAGAGAUGGGGGGAGGGAGAUGUGCAUUCGAAGAAGGAAAGGGAGACAAUCGGGUGGAUGCGGGUUCAUUUU